UUAUAUGUUUGUCUUGGACUUUUUCACAGCUCCUGAGGGAUGCUCAGACUCUAAGUUUGCACUUUGACUGCCAAGGUACUUCAUUGUGAUUAACCCUGAGAAGGGAACAGCCAGCCGGGGAAAAGUAAAUAAUACCUAAGAAGACAAGUGAGCUGACGGUGAAUCCUUGUCACAACUCUUCUGAAGAACUUCACGUCACUUAAUAAAGUCUAUCUCUCUUCUUUCUCACUCAGUGAGCUGUGAGCCUGGAAGCCUGGAUGGCAUUACAAAUCGUGUAUCCUGCAAUCUGCUUACUUGUGCUUUUAUAUUUUUUAACAGUAGUUUGCAAAGCAGUUGCUGUUUAGACUCAAGACAAGGUUUUGCAGGUAUCUCAGGAUAUUGUAAUUAACAGGUUUACAUUGAUCCCCUGUGAAAGGGGCGUGAACCUUGAGAAUUAUUUUUUCA